rnacentral:lncRNA from 1 species
AUAGUGAGUGACUUCUCAUGAGAUCUGAUGGUUAUUUAAGUGGCAGUUUGUCCUGUGUGCUCCUCUCUUUCCUGUGGCUGUGUAAUAGAUACCUUGCUUCCCUUUCCCCUCAGCCAUAAGUUUCCUGAGGCCUCCCUGGCCAUGGGGAACUGUGACUCAAUUCAAUCUCUUUUGUUUAUAAAUUACCCAGUCUCAGGUAGUAUCUUUGUAGCAAUGUGAGAAUGGACUAAUAUACAAUGACUCGGAAAGAAAAACACAUCCUUUGACUUUGGAGGGAUAUAUUUUUAGGGUGAGAUGAUAUAAAUGGGGAUCUCACAGUAUCAAGGUGGUUGACCUCAGUUGACCAAAGAGCCUAAACUGAAAACAAAAAUAGUACCUUACUUUUUAAAAUAGCUAAUGCUAUAGAGGAAAGCAGUAGGUAACUUGGAGAAAACACAGAAAGCGCGAACAAAGUCAAAAUCUGGCGAAGCUCAAACCUCACAUGGCAGAUCAUAAUUAUAACACAAUUGCUUAUUUUAUACCCUGAAAAUUUCAGUUCCAAGUGAAAGCUUGCUGGGUAUUUUUCAAUGACUAUUUUAAAGAAAAGCAAUCUUGCCUGUUUUGUGUUAUAUGGUUAUAAAAGGGUUAAAGAGGAACAGUUAAUUCAUUGUUAAUACUGUGGCAUAGAAAAUAAUCUAUUCAUGUCCUUUGCCCAUUUCUAAAUUGGAUUAAUUUUACUACUAUAUUUUAUUUAACCAAAUAUAUCUAAAUGCUUCAUCAUAUGAUCGAUAUAAAAUGUUAAUGAGAUUUUUAUCUUUUUAUUCAUAAUGUCUUCAAAAUUCAGGAUGUAUUUUACACUCAGAACGAAUCUCCGUCUGAACUGGUCACAUUUCAAGUGCUCAAAAGCACAGAUGUAGCUGUCAUGUUGAACAGCACACUGCAGAUAGUUCCCAUUUGUAGUUGGGAAUUUGGCUUUGCAGAAGUCUGAGCCACCCUGAGUGAAUUCCAACAGCUUCUCAAGCAGCCCCUGGGAGAGCCCAGAAGAGGAGGAUUUGAAGCCUCCUGCCAGCAACAGUAUCAGGUAAUUGGAAGAAUUAGAAGAGCUACACGCACAGAAAAGAAGGCAACCACCAAGAAGAAGUGUUAUUCGGAAAGUAGGACUGAGAAAGGGAACAAUAAAAUGAAGUUAUUUUUUUCCUUAUGUUUUUGAC